CGGCAUGCUUAACACAUGCAAGUCGUACGAAUGAAUUUUGGCUUGACCAAAAUUUAAUGAGUGGCGAACGGGUGAGUAACGCGUAGACAACCUACCACGUAGUUGGGGACAACACUGGGAAACUAGUGCUAAUACCGAAUGUUGUAUCUUUGGUGCAUACCUAGGAUACUAAAGAUGGCCUCUAUUUAUAAGCUAUCGCUACGUGAUGGGUCUGCGUCUGAUUAGCUAGUUGGUGAGGUAAUGGCUCACCAAGGCGACGAUCAGUAGCCGGUCUGAGAGGAUGAACGGCCACACUGGGACUGAGACACGGCCCAGACUCCUACGGGAGGCAGCAGUGGGGAAUCUUCCGCAAUGGACGAAAGUCUGACGGAGCAACGCCGCGUGAGUGAAGAAGGUUUUCGGAUCGUAAAACUCUGUUUUCAGGGACGAAUGUGCAGAUUGUGAAUAAUGAUUUGUAAUGACGGUACCUGAGUAGAAAGCCACGGCUAACUACGUG
rnacentral:rRNA from 1 species